rnacentral:rRNA from 1 species
GCUUUCGACGGUAUGGUAUUGGCUUACCGUGGCAGUGACGGUUAACGGGGGAUUMGGGUUCGAUUCCGGAGAGGGAGCCUGAGAAACGGCUACCACAUCUAAGGAAGGCAGCAGGCGCGCAAAUUACCCAAUUCUAACAGUUUGAGAGAGGUAGUAACAAGAAAUAACAAUACAAGGCAAUUAAAAUGUUUUGUAAUUGGAAUGAUAGAAAUUUAAACCCUUUUUAAAGUAUCAAUUGGAGGGCAAGUCUGGUGCCAGCAGCCGCGGUAAUUCCAGCUCCAAUAGCGUAUAUUAAAAUUGUUGCAGUUAAAAAGCUCGUAGUUGAAGUUCUGCUAAAAGUAACCGGUCUGCUUUUAAUAAAAGUGGUAUCUUGGUGUGUAUUUAGCAAUGAUGUCCUUUGAAGUGUUUUUUACUUUAUUGUAAUAAAGCAUAUUCAGGACUUUUACUUUGAGAAAAUUAGAGUGUUUCUAGCAGGCCGACGCUUUGAAUACUGCAGCAUGGAAUAAUAAGAUAGGAUUUUAGUUCUACAUUAUUGGUUUUAAGAGCUAAAUUAAUGA